rnacentral:rRNA from 1 species
CCUACGGGUGGCAGCAGUGAGGAAUAUUGGGCAAUGGACGAGAGUCUGAACCAGCCAAGUAGCGUGAAGGAUGACUGCCCUCUGGGUUGUAAACUUCUUUUAUAUGGGAAUAAAAUGUUGCACGUGUGUGAUUUUGUAUGUACCAUAUGAAUAAAGAUCGGCUAACUCCGUGCCAGCAGCCGCGGUAAUACGGAGGAUCCGAGCGUUAUCCGGAUUUAUUGGGUUUAAAGGGAGCGUAGGUGGAUUGUUAAGUCAGUUGUGAAAGUUUGCGGCUCAACCGUAAAAUUGCAGUUGAAACUGGCAGUCUUGAGUACAGUAGAGGUGGGCGGAAUUCGUGGUGUAGCGGUGAAAUGCUUAGAUAUCACGAAGAACUCCGAUUGCGAAGGCAGUUCACUGGACUGCAACUGACACUGAGGCUCGAAAGUGUGGGUAUCAAACAGGAUUAGAUACCCCUGUAGUC